GAGCUGGGUUCAGAACGUCGUGAGACAGUUCGGUCCCUAUCUGCUGCGGGCGUAGGAAAUUUGAGUGGAGCUGUCUUUAGUACGAGAGGACCGAGACGGACUGACCUCUAGUGUACCUGUUGUGGCGCCAGCUGCAUCGCAGGGUAGCUAUGUCGGGAAGGGAUAAGCGCUGAAAGCAUCUAAGCACGAAGCCCACCACGAGAUGAGAUUUCCCCUACGGGUCGUUCUAGAUGAGGACGUCGAUAGGCGGCAGGUGGAAGCAUGGCGACAUGUGCAGCCGAGCCGUACUAAUUACCCGUUAGACUUUCUUU
rnacentral:rRNA from 1 species